rnacentral:rRNA from 1 species
AACGAACGCUGGCGGCGUGGAUAAGACAUGCAAGUCGAACGGGACAAGUAGCAAUAUUUGUCUAGUGGCGAACGGGUGCGUAACACGUGGGCAACAUGCCUGGAAGAGCGGGAUAGCCCGGGGAAACUCGGAUUAAUACCGCAUGUGACAACGGGGCGGAUUCGCCCUGUUUUCAAAGGUGGGGACCGCAAGGCCUGCCGCUUCCAGAUUGGCCCGCGUCCUAUCAGCUAGUUGGCGGGGUAACGGCCCACCAAGGCGACGACGGGUAGCUGGUCUGAGACGACGACCAGCCAAACUGGAACUGGGACACGGUCCAGACACCUACGGGUGGCAGCAGUCGGGAAUCUUUCACAAUGGGGGAAACCCUGAUGGAGCGACGCCGCGUGGAGGAUGACGGUCUUCGGAUUGUAAACUCCUGUCAUGAAAGAACAAGCGGAGCGGGUAAACAGCCCGCCGAGUUGAUAGUAUUUCAAGAGGAAGGGACGGCUAACUUCGUGCCAGCAGCCGCCGCAG